rnacentral:rRNA from 1 species
ACGGCGAGUGAAGCGGCAAAAGCUCAAAUUUGAAAUCCUUCGGGAGUUGUAAUUUGUAGGUUGGGAGACCCCGCGGCUAGUGGCACCAAGUCCCUUGGAACAGGGCGCCUUAGAGGGUGAGAGCCCCGUAGGUACCACAACACCGUCUUGUGUCUCCUCUCCAAAGAGUCGAGUUGUUUGGGAAUGCAGCUCAAAGUGGGUGGUAAAUUCCAUCUAAAGCUAAAUACCGGCGAGAGACCGAUAGCGAACAAGUACAGUGAUGGAAAGAUGAAAAGCACUUUGAAAAGAGAGUGAAACAGUACGUGAAAUUGUUGAAAGGGAAGGGCUUGCAAGCAGACACGGCCUUCGUGCCGGGCCAGCAUCGGUUGCUAGGGGUGGAUAAGGAACAAGGAAUGUAGCUCCUCGGAGUAUUAUAGCCUUGCGCGAUACACCCACUGGCGACCGAGGCCUGCGGUAUUCUUUACCUAGGAUGCUGGCGUAAUGGUUGCAAGCCGCCCGUCUUGA